GAUUCGGACACAUACACGUAGACAUUAUCGCGAUGCAGCAUUCGCAAGGCUAUCGAUAUUGUCUAACGUGUAUCGACCAUUUCUCGCGUUGGUCCGAAGCGAUACCCACAGCCGAUAAGGAAGCAUCAACCGUUGCUUCAGCUCUCCUUUUAACAUAGAUUGCUCGUUUCGGCGUACCAUCCAAAAUAACAACCGAUCAAGGACGCCAAUUCGAGCCACAAUUAUUUAACACGAAUUAUACCGGUUGCUCGGUAUCGAACAUUUACGCACGACGACCUAUCAUCUCGCGUCCAACGGGAUGGUAGAGCGCCUACAUCGACAGUUGAAAGCGGCAAUCAAAUGCUACGAUAUGAGCAACUGGGUUGAAAUCUUACCGAUCGUACUAUUAGGAAUUCAAACAGCAAUUAAGAAGGAACUGAACGCAACGGCUGCCGAAAUGAUCUACGGCGCAGGAAUACGACUGCCAGGAGAAUUUUUCGUACCGAUGGUUCGGCAAGCGACCUUCGAAUACGCGAAUCGGCUUAAAGAGCGAAUCGAAGAAAUAAAGCCGCAAUCGAUCACUCGACAAACGUGUUCAUUUUCCGUGAACUCGCAGUGUCACCCUAUAUAUUGCUGCGUAGCAACGUCGUCCGCAGUUCCCUACAAACACCUUGCGACAGGUCAUACAAGGUGAUACAAGGCGGAGAGAAGAAUUUCAACAUAAAAAUAAAUAAUAGAAAGGUAACAGUCUCCAUAGACCGGCUAAAACCGCUGUUCCUUGUAGAUGACAAUAUCGAACAACAAAGUGUCGAAUACCACGACAUAAUAAUACCGCUUAGACAUCAAAUCGAGCGAAGCGAUACACGGACAAACACAAGAAAUAAAUAUGUCACGCGCGCGGGCAGGAGAGUCCCAUUUCCUGAUACGUUACAGGCAGGUUUCGAAUAAGCGCUAUAGUUCUUUGGGCUUGGGAAUUACCCACGAAAUUUGUAAACUAACUACACACAAAAAAAAUAUGUUAUCGUUGGUAAGGAGGUGAUGUAGCGACACAUAAGUCAUAGGACAAUUGGAAUCGAGAGUGACUCAUGUCGUUGUUUUGUCUCGCAGUAUCGACACCGUUACUACGUACAAAAUUUAAAAGUAAAUAAACUCCGGACAAAGCAAUAUCAUCCCUACCUGAAAUCGUCAACCGAAGUCGAAGUCAACCUUUCCGACUUUCCCGACCAGUAUAAAUAAACGAACAUGCUCUCUAAGGCGAUCAUUAUCUAGUAUCCUUACAGCGAGUGUCAUUGAGCGUGCGACGAUUCAGGCGUAUUAUAGCAACUCUGUAUUCUGUACUUAGAGAGAUCUUUGAAUAUAUCCGACUAUCACAAGUAUUAGCUCAUCUCGUCAUUAAAUAAAUCAACACGUUUGAUAUGAAAAGCAAGCUGGUCGAAGAAAAAUCCAAGAGGACGAGACACGACGGAGCUUCCUACGCGGAAACAAAAAUCACCUAAGUGGGAACUGCCCAACGAAAAGCCAGGUGUUUCAAAUGCCAGGAGUACGGACACAUCGCAUCGCAAUUUAACAAUUGCGUCAAGAGGGUACUUGCAACCUGGAGUGCUCGACCCCCAGUCCGCUCUAAAGCAAAACAUCAAUACCAGAUGAGAUACACGACGAUAGGACAGUUACAAUAUUGGAUAGGAACACAUUCCUUCCUCAAAGGAAAUAUGGACAGAAAAACACCCCCUGGAAAGAUGCGACGGUCAAACGCCAAGAGGUUCCUUCGCAUCUUUGAUCGG